rnacentral:ribozyme from 1 species
CUCUGGCUCAGCCGGCCACCUCAACGUGGUGCCAGCGUGCAGUACUCUUUGACAGGGAGGAAGCUAAGCGCCUG